rnacentral:rRNA from 1 species
GAGUUUGAUCCUGGCUCAGAACGUACGCUGGCGGCACGCCUAACACAUGCAAGUCGAACGAAGUAGCAAUACUUAGUGGCAGACGGGUGAGUAACAUGUAGGUAUCUGCCCUUUGGCCUGGAAUAACACGAGGAAACUUGUGCUAAUACCGGAUAAGUCUUUACGGAGAAAGCUUUAUGCACCAUUGGAUGAGCCUGCACUUGAUUAGUUUGUUGGUGGGGUAAUGGCCUACCAAGACUGUGAUCAAUAGCUGAUUUGAGAGGAUGAUCAGCCACAUUGGGACUGAGACACGGCCCAAACUCCUACGGGAGGCAGCAGUGGGGAAUCUUGCACAAUGGAGGAAACUCUGAUGCAGCGAUGCCGCGUGAGUGAAGAAGGCCCUUGGGUUGUAAAGCUCUUUCGUCGGGGAAGAAAAUGACUGUACCCGAAUAAGAAGGUCCGGCUAACUUCGUGCCAGCAGCCGCGGUAAUACGAAGGGACCUAGCGUAGUUCGGAAUUACUGGGCUUAAAGAGUUCGUAGGUGGUUGAAAUAGUUGGUGGUGAAAUCCCAGAGCUUAACUCUGGAACUGCCAUCAAAACUUUUCAGCUAGAGUAUGAUAGAGGAAAGCAGAAUUUCUAGUGUAGAGGUGAAAUUCGUAGAUAUUAGAAAGAAUACCAAUUGCGAAGGCAGCUUUCUGGAUCAUUACUGACACUGAGGAACGAAAGCAUGGGUAGCGAAGAGGAUUAGAUACCCUCGUAGUCCAUGCCGUAAACGAUGUGUGUUAGACGUUGGAAAUUUAUUUUCAGUGUCGCAGGGAAACCGAUAAACACACCGCCUGGGGAGUACGACCGCAAGGUUAAAACUCAAAUGAAUUGACGGGGACCCGCACAAGUAGUGGAGCAUGUGGUUUAAUUCGAAGAUACGCGCAGAACCUUACCAACACUUGACAUGUUCGUCGCGACUCUAAGAGAUUAGAGUUUUCGGUUCGGCCGGACGAAACACAGGUGCUGCAUGGCUGUCGUCAGCUCGUGUCGUGAGAUGUUGGGUUAAGUCCCGCAACGAGCGCAACCCUCACUUUUAGUUGCCAUCAUUAAGUUGGGCACUCUGAAAGAACUGCCAGUGAUAAGCUGGAGGAAGGUGGGGAUGACGUCAAGUCCUCAUGGCCCUUACGUGUUGGGCUACACACGUGCUACAAUGGUAUUUACAACAGGAAGCAAGACUGCGAAGUUAAGCAAAUCCCUAAAAAAUACCUCAGUUCGGAUUGCACUCUGCAACUCGAGUGCAUGAAGCUGGAAUUACUAGUAAUCGUGGAUCAGCGUGCCACGGUGAAUGCGUUCCCGGGUCUUGUACACACCGCCCGUCACACCAUGGGAGUUGGUUCUACCUUAAGGCAAGGUUUUAAACCCUUGACCACGGUAUAGUCAGCGACUGGGGUGAAGUCGUAACAAGGUAACC